CACUUUGGAAUCCGGGGGGUUCUCCUGGGGGGGGGGAGGGGGGGGAGGACCCCCCCCCACCCUGGGGGUCCCGGUGCCCCCCCCGGGGCUGCAGGCACUUGGCAGAAGCGGCCGGUGAAGGCGGGGGGGCACAGGCAGUGGGAGCGGGAGGAGCACUGCCCCCCGUUCAUGCAGGGCAGUGGGCACACCACCACGCGGAACCCGGGCCCGCUCAGCGUGUCGGCUCCGUGCCUCCCGUUCUCCCCCACGAGCGUCGUGUUGGUCCCCGCCCGGCACUGAUCGCGGCAGCGGCCCCUCACGCAGCUCCGGCGGCAGAUGAGGGGCGCCACGACCACUCGGAAACGCUCCCGGGCCACCGCCGAACCCACGGCCACGGACACGGGGGGGCCCGGGGGGAGCGCGGCCCCCAGAGCGGCCACGGCCACGGCCACGCACAGAGCGCGCAUCGCGGUCCGGGGG
rnacentral:lncRNA from 1 species